rnacentral:SRP_RNA from 1 species
GCUGGGAAUGGUGGCGCAUUCCUGUAACUCCAGUGACUUGGAGAGCUUAGGUCGGUGGACGAGUGGCUGGCAGGGUCACUGGGUGUUGUAAGGCUAUGUUGAUCGGACGUCCGCACUAAGCUCUGCGUCAAUAUGGUCACCUUGGGAGAACCUUGGGUGACCAGGUUGAUUUAAUGAGAAGUGUAACGGCUCAGGACGGAAACGUAGCAGGCAAAAGCUUCCGCGUUGAGUAGUAGUGGGAUCGCGUCUGUGAGUAGUCAACAGCAUCUAGCCUGUCCGGUCCAUUUGGACCCGAACCUUUU